UUUUAUUUAUACCAAUCAAUGUAGAUUUAUAAAGGUAAUCGUAUCAAACCAGCUUAAAAUAACAUAAUAUUUUAAAACUAGUUGUUGUAAUUUGAAUUUAAAUUAUAUAGCUUUGUAGACGUCUGUAACCUUUGCCGGUCACUUAGCGAGUGUCGCGAUACUUUAUUUUCUGUAUCUAUAUUAGGUGUGUCUGGUUACUUUUCCUGCAGGAAUUGUCCAGCAAAAUCUUUCUUAGAGAGUAAGGUAGGUAGUAAGUAAACAGUCGGUAUUCCUGCAAAAGCUUGCAACUAAUCAGCUGAUUUGUCAAAACAAACCAAUUUGUCCCCUAUUAUAAGAAUAAAAAGAAAGGAAGCACCACCAAUUUUACAAGUUUUUUAAAUAAAAAGGAAAUUAGCAAUAAAACAAAAAUAUGAGCAAUAAAAGAAAGAUAGAUAGAAAGAUUAAUAUUUACUUUUUUCACAUUUUGAAAGUUUAUCUCAAAAAACAAUUAGUCGUGCCCAUUCCAAAAAAAAAUAUUAUCAAAUUGAAAGCACAAAAAAAAAAAUAAACAAACAAUAGAAAACAUGUGAUCGAAUAGUUUUACAUAGUUGAAUUUUAAUCAUAUUAUCGAUAUGUGUCUUCAUUUACCGUAUUUGUGUUCACUUAUAUUCUACUACAGUUCGGCCGACCGGACAAAUGUGACGGCCCCAGUCACACGGGGUUAUUCAUAAUUCUCUAAGGUACAAUAUACUUAACUUAAAGCAUGUUUACGUAAGAAAUUUUUUCGGGGUUAACCUUCUUUAUCAAGAUUUAUUUGAGGUAUAUUCAAAGGAAUUGACAAUUUAAACCGACUGGGGGUUUUAAAUCCUCUACAGCGUAAACGUACUAUUAGUUGACUACAUACUUAAACUACUUAAUAUACUACUACCAUAGGCUCUACCUGGCAGAACAACCCUGGGUCUUAUUAUUCGUUUUCCAUAAUCACAUAUUGCAAGCCUCUAUUAUCGUAGGGUAUUUGUGUUAUCUGGUAGUUUUCGAUAUCCCCGACAAAAUAUCUCUCUUGGGGCAGCUUGUUUUUGGAAAAAAGUAUUUAAUUUGUAGCAACAAUCCAGUCAAUGCAUGAACACAAUGUUCGAACUUUUAUAUCGCUAUCUUCUCCUCAAGCAGGUCAAUAUGGAACCAGUUUUCUACAUUUGAUUUUUCCUGAUUUGGCUGCCAAAACAGCAUAUGAGCUUUUUUACUCCAAAGUUGGACAGCACACAUCCGUCGGAAACUACUGGAAUGACCCACAUAAGCAAGAUAUGUAUUUGAAAUUCAGUGUUUUUCAGCCAUACAUAAACAAUGAGAUUAUUUCUGGAAAUUCAACUGAUUUUAAAGCAGCAUUAACUAGUUUAGAUAAAUUUAUUCUUAUUGGAGGACCGAACGACGGAAUGAUUAUACCGUUGCAAUCAAAGUAGGUGUCAAAAUGUGUUUAUAAAUGCUCUGAUUAAUAUUUGUAUUUUUGUAGUCAUUUUGGAUAUUACAACGACAGUCUUGAUGUAAUUCCAUUGAAUGAGCGAAAAAUAUAUGCAUCGGACGACAUUGGCUUAAAAACAUUGGCGGACCAUGGAAAAUUGAUAAUAAUCGUUAAACCCUUUGUACAUCACUUAACGUGGCACCCAAAUAAACGAGUUAUUAAUGAGGUGAUUUUACCUUAUUUAAUUUAAAUUUGUUAAUGCUGGAUUUAAUUGAAAUUCAAAAAUAUACAACCCUCGCUCUUUUUCUGUAAA